UGUUGUUACCAUAGCAGCAACAAUAUACUACUGUAGGGGACUCUCUGCUAUAUUCAAGGAGAGCAAGCAUUAACAAACAGAUGAAUAUCCAAGUCUGAAAUUGCCGUUUUGUUCUGUGUCACUAAGUUAAAAAGCCACCACAUCUACGGCUGCAGUUUUCCCAGCAGAAAACAGGCUUCCAUUCUUGGAAGGUAAAGGGAUAAGAAACUGUGAAGACCAUUCAUUCCAGAUAAAACAAAAAGGGGCAGACCUAAAAAAGAAUACAUCUUGCAGAUUGCUACAUAAAGAAAUAUCGUGUUUGCAUCUGUGUCUGAGAGAAAGCAGAAUAAUGAACACUCUAUCAUUGAUAGUAUUCAAUCUGAGUUCGAAUGAUUGUUUGUUAAGGAGAUUGCGGAGGAUUUCUUGCACUGGAUGGGAGAUUGGGCUGUAAGUGGUUUCAGAAGUGAAAUUGGGAAGACAGAAGAAAUAAUGUUUGAAGAGAUACUAGUCAGAAUUCUUAAUAUAGUAGUAAUAAAUGACAUCCAAAAACAGGAUUCUGUUGAAGAUAAUAAUUUAUCAUUUUUUGAAUGCAAAGAUACACCACCUUUAAAUGAAAUUAACAAUGGACACAAGAAAACCUAAGAGCAAUCACCAC